rnacentral:rRNA from 1 species
UGGGGAAUUGUUCACAAUGGGCGCAAGCCUGAUGACGCAACGCCGCGUGGGGGAUGAAGGUCUUCGGAUCGUAAACCCCUGUCGAAUGGGACGAAAGACUCGCGAGUGAAUACUUCGCGAGAGUGACGGUACCGUUAAAGGAAGCCACGGCUAACUUCGUGCCAGCAGCCGCGGUAAUACGAGGGGUGCAAGCGUUGCUCGGAAUUAUUGGGCGUAAAGGGUAGGUAGGUGGUCUCAUUUGUCAGGGGUGAAAGCCUUGGGCUUAACCCAAGAAGUGCCCCUGAAACGGUGAGACUUGAGUACUGGAGAGGGUCGUGGAAUUCCCGGUGUAGCGGUGAAAUGCGUAGAGAUCGGGAGGAACACCAGAGGCGAAGGCGGCGACCUGGACAGUAACUGACACUCAACUACGAAAGCGUGGGGAGCAAACAGGAUUAGAUACCCAAGUAGUCCCUGAGCGGGCUGGCAAGGCGCAU